rnacentral:antisense_RNA from 1 species
AGAAAAAUUAGUUGGGCGAGGUGGCACAUACCUGUGGUCCUAGCUACUUGGGAGGCUGAGGUGGGAGGACUGCUUGAGCCUGGGUGAUUAAGGCUGCAGUGAGCUGUGAUCGCACCACUGCUCUUCAGCCUGGGCGACCAAGUGAGACCCUGUCUCAAAAAAAAGUAACCAAGAAUAAAGCAGGUUCUGCUCAGCCCCUUGGAAGUCACAGGAUGCUCACACCAGUUACAAGAAAUUUAGUUUCAGUCCUAGAGUUGAAAGGGCCAUGAAAAAGGCAAGAGGAUGUUUUAAGACUGCCCAGCAGGAAGUACUAAUAGAAGGGAUUCCUGGACAAAGAAGAGCUCCUUAUAUGCUACUGCUUUUGUGAAGGACCCCAAUUUUCUGCAACCAGGCUUUUUAGAUCAACUCUAAAACAGAACUCUUUAUGCUUACGAUGCUACUAAGGGGCCUUCUGAUUGCUUUGACAAUUAUAUUGAAAUCUGGAUUCUGUCAAAACAAUAUCUUAUUGUAAAGUUACCUGUUUGGGUUAUUUCAAGAUGAUAUAUGGUGGAGGAGGAAACUGUACCUGUAUAUUCACUUGAUAAUCUGUAGGGCCAUGAAUAGAUCCAUACAAGCCAAAUCCAACUAUAGAGAUCCUUCUAUUAACUGUGAACCUGAGAGAAAGAAGCCAAAAAUAAAAUAUAAUUAAUCCCA